GGCUCGGUGGCCGAAGAGAUAGUGGCGUUGCUCUUAUAUGGCAGUAACAGGGAUCGAAUCCCAUUCAAGCCA
rnacentral:tRNA from 1 species